GCCCAUUUUGGUAGUACAUAUACAAAAAUUGGGACAUUACAAAGAUUAGCAUGGCCCCUGUGCAAGAAUGACACAAAAAUCCAUGAAGCACUCCAUAUUUGG